AGCAGCCGCGGUAAUUCCAGCUCCAAUAGCGUAUAUUAAAGUUGUUGCAGUUAAAAAGCUCGUAGUUGAAUUUCGGGGUUCUACCGUUGGUCAGGCAAUAGUCUGUACUGGCGCGUGGAAUUUCUACCUUCUGGGGAACCAUCAUGUUAUUUAUUUAGCGUGGUGGGAAACCAGGACCUUUACCUUGAAAAAAUUAGAGUGUUCAAAGCAGGCUUACAUCUGAAUACAUUAGCAUGGAAUAAUAAAAUAG
rnacentral:rRNA from 1 species